rnacentral:rRNA from 1 species
CUCAGUUCGGAUCGGAGUCUGCAACCCGACUCCGUGAAGCUGGAUUCGCUAGUAAUCGCGCAUCAGCCAUGGCGCGGUGAAUACGUUCCCGGGCCUUGUACACACCGCCCGUCAAGCCAUGGGAGCCGGGGGUGCUUGAAGUGCGUCGCCGCAAGGCGCGCCCUAGAGCAAAACCGGUGAUUGGGGCUAAGUCGUAACAAGGUAGC